UACGUAGGUGGCAAGCGUUGUCCGGAUUUACUGGGCUUAAAGGGUGCGUAGGCCGCGCGGAGGGUGGGAUGUGAAAUCCCCCGGCUCAACCGGGGAAUAGCGUCCCAAACCGCCGUGCUCGAGGGAGACAGAGGUGAGCGGAACUGAUGGUGGAGCGGUGAAAUGCGUUGAUAUCAUCAGGAACACCAGUGGCGAAAGCGGCUCACUGGGUCUUUCCUAACGCUGAGGCACGAAAGCUAGGGGAGCGAACGGG
rnacentral:rRNA from 1 species